rnacentral:antisense_RNA from 1 species
AUAGUUUUGUUUUAGUUCCAUU